GAUACAAGUGGUACAGAGGCAGGUGCAAGCCUGCGAUUACCCCACUCGGAAUACGCUAUCUGUCUGGCGCUCUGUGGUUCUGUUCCUUCGCGAAUCAGUGAGCAGAGAUCACGAGGUAGAUAGGUGGGUUUUAUGGGGUUAUCACGAAAGCUCCCGAGACCAGAGGAACGCCCGCAAGGUGAAAUGACACAAUAUAUCAUCUGCAUCCUGAGAGGAGGUCUGCGUUGCGUAAAACAAGCGGAUGAUUGAGGAUAAACUGGGAGGUUUCCCGUGUCUCGGGGUGAUUCCAGUGUCUCAGGAGUCGCGUCUGAGCGGUAAUAGACGAGAGAGACCUAGAGAGAAUAGGUUGUUUGCGCUGCCGGGAGGUCCCGCUCUGCAUGAAAAGGAGCGAUGCAAAAGAGAUUCCCAAGAAGGAUUCCCGAUCUGCGGCCCCUUUUCCGGCGUCUUUUCUUCACGCAAAAGGCGUGGAUCUGGGCCUGUUCCAGUGAAAGCAAGAAAUCCUCCUCGUCUGACUCGUGAAAGGAAAAAGGUUUCUUCUCGUCUGUGAUAAGAAGCAAGGCGGCUCCACGGCACCACAGAUUCACUCCAGUGAUCAGAGAGAGAGAGAGAGAGCACUGACUGACCACAGUGACAACAAUGAUUGACAACACCCCAACCUGAGACCAUACAAACUGAUUGGUUGAUGAAGAUACAGCCAACAGGUUGGCUCCACCCCUCCACACCGUCCCCGACCCAUCGUUGAACUCUUCAAAAACAAUUAACAACAAUCAACACUUCUGAACAACGUUACCUUCUGACACACUCUCAACCUUUAACCAGAAAAACAACAGCCUGGUCGCACGGCAGUGACUGUAGCUUCUCCCUGGUCGCACAGCAGUGACUGUAGCUUCUCCCUGGUCGCACAUCAGUGACUGUAGCUUCUCCCUAGUCCCACAGCAGUGACUGUAGCUUCUCCCUGGUCACACAGCAGUGACUGUAGCUUCUCCCUGGUCACACAGCAGUGACUGUAGCUUCUCCCUGGUCACACAGCAGUGACUGUAGCUUCUCCCUGGUCCCACAGCAGUGACUGUAGCUUCUCCCUGGUCACACAGCAGUGACUGUAGCUUCUCCCUGGUCACACAGCAGUGACUUUAGCAUCUCCCUGGUCACACAGCAGUGACUUUAGCUUAUCCCUGGUCACACAGCAGUGACUGUAGCUUCUCCCUGGUCACACAGCAGUGACUGUAGCUUCUCCCUGGUCACACAGCAGUGACUGUAGCUUCUCCCUGGUCACACAGCAGUGACUUUAGCAUCUCCCUGGUCACACAGCAGUGACUGUAGCUUCUCCCUGGUCACACAGCAGUGACUUUAGCAUCUCCCUGGUCACACAGCAGUGACUGUAGCUUCUCCCUGGUCACACAGCAGUGACUGUAGCUUCUCCCUGGUCACACAGCAGUGACUUUAGCUUCUCCCUGGUCCCACAAAGACCAGUAAACGAAGAGGAAUAACUGUAGUCUGAAGCUGCUCACACACAGUAACAUGGAGCCCCCGCUUCCCACCUUUUGAAGUUGGGAACCGUCUUUCCAAAGUACUUUCUGUCCAUCUUCUCUCUGUCAAUCUUCUCUCUGUCCAUCUUCUCUCAGUCCAUCU